GCUAGGAUGGCAUAGUGGUUUGAGCAUUGGACUAUGACUCUGGAGACCAGGGUUUGAAUCCUGGCUCAGCC